GACGAACGCUGGCGGCGUGCUUAACACAUGCAAGUCGAACGGAAAGGCCCUGCUUUUGUGGGGUGCUCGAGUGGCGAACGGGUGAGUAACACGUGAGUAACCUGCCCUUGACUUUGGGAUAACUUCAGGAAACUGGGGCUAAUACCGGAUAGGAGCUCCUGCUGCAUGGUGGGGGUUGGAAAGUUUCGACGGUUGGGGAUGGACUCGCGGCUUAUCAGCUUGUUGGUGGGGUAGUGGCUUACCAAGGCUUUGACGGGUAGCCGGCCUGGGAGGGUGGCCGGCCACAUUGGGACUGAGGGACGGCCCAGACUCCUACGGGAGGCAGCAGUGGGGAAUAUUGCACAAUGGGCGGAAGCCUGAGGCAGCGACGCCGCGUGCGGGAUGACGGCCUUCGGGUUGUAAACCGCUUUCGCCUGUGACGAAGCGUGAGUGACGGUAAUGGGUAAAGAAGCACCGGCUAACUACGUG
rnacentral:rRNA from 1 species